CCAGUAUCACCAAAGAAAAGCACAGAUGAGUGGCCACCAUGGACUCCUGUGGUGUAGGCUCUGCUAGCUGUGACUGACCCAUCAGCUGUGGCUGACCUCAAGCUGUGGAGGAGUAGAGAGAUCUGUGAGGCAGGAAUGAGUUCCGUGGAAUGCUGUGGGCAGGAGAGAGGGGAAGCUGAGCCAGGGUGGGCAGGACAGGAGAGGAAGAGAGGCUGAGAGCGAGCUGAAGUUGGAUCAUGUCCAUGGGGACUUUGACAUCUGUCCAUCUGUUUAACUGUCCAGGAGUCUUGGGCAUGGGGAGCACUGGGCUUGUCUCUGGCUGUCCCCAGAGCUCAUGACAUUUGAUCUUCAACCCAAGGACAGCCCAUGCUUCCUGUGGUUGCUGUCUUUUGGUUUGUCGGUGCCUCUGUCCCCUGUUGGGCUCCUUGGAGGGAGCUUGCUUGCAAGCAGACGGAUGGAAGCCCACCUGACCUGUCUAGCUGUGGCCACUUCCUCCUUCCCAGCUCAGCCUUUGCUGUGAGAGCUCGGAGUGAAUGCCUUUGAGACCAAACAACAGGAAACCACGAAGCAGGGUCUUAUUACAUGGCCCAGGCUAGCCCAGCACUCACUAUGUAUGUAGCCUGAGCUGACCUAGAUCUUCUGGAUGUUUUCCUGCCCCAAAUACUAGGAUGGAUUUUAUUUUCCCUUACCACCCAGCCAAACAAUGAGAUGCAAUUUAAACACAAAUAUUUGAUUGCUGCACCAGGCUGGCUUGGUGGCUUCUUUGCUGAACAGGCCCUGUGCUGUUUCCAGUGCGACAGCAGACUUUCCUGCCGGCACUGGGUUUGCCACUUGCGGAACUGUUCCUUGCUGUGCCUUGGUCAGUCCAGAAGGGCAAUACUUCCCAUGGGCUUGGAAUAUAGAGUUAUCAGGAGAGCAAGACUGGCUCUAGCUCUAGGGAGGAUGAAAAGACAGGAGGGCUGCUUGCCCUGUGACCUGAGAAUGGUGAAGAUUCAGAGAAGGAGAUCGCUAAGGAAAGCAGGGUGUGCAAAGGGCCUGGGGCCAGAGGGGGUGAGUUUGAGGACCACGGCGUACCCCAGUG
rnacentral:lncRNA from 1 species